AGUGAAUAAUUAAACGGCCGCGGUACCCUAACCGUGCAAAGGUAGCAUAAUCAUUUGUCUAUUAAUUGUAGACCUGCAUGAAAGGCAAAAUGAGGGUUUAACUGUCUCUUAUAGUAAAUCAAUUAAACUGAUCUCCUAGUAAAAAAGCUAGGAUACUUCCAUAAGACCAGAAGACCCUGUGAAGCUUAAACUAAACUAUUAAACCACAUAAUAGCUACUUUCGGUUGGGGCGACCUUGGAAAAAAAAAGAACUUCCAAACACAGUGACCAUAAAUCACACCACCCUAGGCCCACAAGCCCGUAACUAGACCCAGCACAGCUGACUAAUGAACCAAGUUACUCCAGGGAUAACAGCGCCAUCUUCUUCAAGAGUCCAUAUCAAAAAGAAGGUUUACGACCUCGAUGUUGGAUCAGGACAUCCUAA
rnacentral:rRNA from 1 species